rnacentral:rRNA from 1 species
CACGUAGGGUGCAAGCGUUGUCCGGAUUCAUUGGGCGUAAAGGGCUAGUAGGCGGCUUAGCAAGUCGGGUGUGAAAUUUCCAGGCUUAACCUGGAACCGCCAUCCGAUACUGCUAUGGCUAGAGUCCGGUAGGGGACCACGGAAUUCCUGGUGUAGCGGUGAAAUGCGCAGAUAUCAGGAGGAACACCUGUGGCGAAAGCGGCUCACUGGACCACAACUGACGCUGAUGCACGAAAGCUAGGGGAGCAAACAGG